CCUACGGGUGGCAGCAGUAGGGAAUCUUCCACAAUGGGCGAAAGCCUGAUGGAGCAACGCCGCGUGAGUGAAGAAGGUCUUCGGCUCGUAAAACUCUGUUGGUAGAGAAGCAAGUUCGUGAGAGUAACUGUUCACGAUUUGACGGUACUUAAUCAGAAAGUCACGGCUAACUCCGUGCCAGCAGCCGCGGUAAUACGUAGGUGGCAAGCGUUAUCCGGUUUUAUUGGGCGUAAGGGGAGGGCAGGCGUUCCUUUAAGUCUGAUGUGAAAGCCUUCGGCUGAACCGGAGUAUUGCAUUAGAAACUGGGGGACUUGAGAGGAGAAGAGGAGAGUGGAACUCCAUGUGUAGCGGUGAAAUGCGUAGAUAUAGGGAAGAACACCAGUGGCGAAGGCGGCUCUCUGGUCUGUAACUGACGCUGAGGUUCGAAAGCGUGGGUAGCGAACAGGAUUAGAUACCCGUGUAGUC
rnacentral:rRNA from 1 species